rnacentral:rRNA from 1 species
UGGAUGAGGCAUGCAAGUCGAACGCGAAAGUGCCCGCAAGGGUGCGAGUAGAGUGGCGAAAGGGUGAGUAAUGCUUGGAUGACCUGCCUUCGAGACGGGGACAACAGUUCGAAAGGACUGCUAAUACCCGAUGGUCCGUACCGGACACGUCCGGCGCGGUAAAUGGUUGAUUCCGCUCGAUGAGGGGUCCAAGUCCUAUCGGCUAGUUGGUGAGGUAACGGCUCACCAAGGCGAUGACGGGUAGCCGGACUGAGAGGUCGACCGGCCACAUGGGAACUGAGACACUGUCCUGACUCCUACGGGAGGCUGCAGUCGAGAAUCUUCUGCAAUGGGCGCAAGCCUGACAGAGCGACGCCGCGUGGAGGACGAAGGCCCUCGGGUUGUAAGCUCC